GACAUAGGUUGCGAACGUUAUCCGGAAUUAUUGGGCGUAAAGGAUGCGUAGAUGGUUUGAUAAGUUAUCAGUGGCAAAUCGGGGCUCAACCUCGUGGAAGUUGGUAAUACUGUCAUACUCGAGUGCAGGAGAAGUUAACGGAACUCUAUGUGGAGCGGUAAAAUGUGACGAUAUAUAGAAGAACACCAAUAAGGCGAAGGCAGUUAACUAUUCUGUUACUGACAUUGAGGCAUGAAAGCGUGGGGAGCAAAACGG
rnacentral:rRNA from 1 species